UGGUAACACCGCGACUCUCUGUUCCACGUGUUCAUGUAUUCGCCUGAGUUACACAGAAGGCAUUGGGUCUUGGUGAGAGCCGUGCAGUGGUUCACCAGUCUCAUUCCUGAAAAAAAAACAAAACAAAACAGGAAGACAUGAGGCAGCUCGCGCCAAUCCUGUCACUACCCGACUUAGGAGUCCCAGAAGAAGUUGCCUUUGUGAGGAGCACAGGCCAGGUGAAUGACCGAGAAGCCGCAUGCUGGGAGGCCAGGUUCCACUGCUCUGUCGUCUUCUUCCUCUGGAAUCCAUCCUGUCUUCGGUCACCUCCGCCACUGUUCUAACUCAGGGGCUCAUAGGUUUGGGCCUCAUGCUGUAUCCUCAGUCUCCUUUCCAUAGUGAAGCAGUUACUCAAGCUGGCCUGGAACUCAUUCUGGAGCCCAGGAAUAUCUUGACCUCAUCAUCCUGAGGAGCUGGGGUCACAGGCCUGCACCACCAGGCCCAGAGAAGGUCACAAGACUACUUUCAUCCUGGCGGAGUUCGUCACUAAUGGUUGUGAAAUAAUGCUUCUUUCUGUUUCAGCAGGAGCCCAACAGAGAGCUUCCUACUUGUGAAUUCUUUUAUCCCCCACUUCCUACUUUUGACUCUCUCGUCUAAACAAUGGGGGCUAAUGGAGUUCUCCGUAUGCUAGUGUGUAUUUCCCGUCAGCCAGGAUGCUCCCUGCACCGCCUGUGACUCCACAGGAAAAAAAAAAAGUAGUUUCUUUCCAAAUCACCUAAGCCCGAGGGAUGGCGUGUGGCGUGGCCACACUUGCUGGAGCCAUACACAUGGCCAACCAUCAAUUCACCCAGACUGCAUUUCCACAGUACUUUCAUAAACUCAAGGUACAAUAGAACAAGGGGCUUUGAAGACUCAAAGACAUGGGUUCGAAUCCUGACUGUGACACUUAACAAUAUGUGUGGGAGGAAAUGGAAUGAAUUUACAUCUUUGAUCCUCAGUUUGCAUAUCUGUAAAAUGGAAGGAAGAGUCACUGUUGAUACUGGAAGUAUUAAGAGCAAGGACCCCACCACAAGUAGAGUACCUUAUGCCCUGGGGUAAUUAUCUGCUUCUCUGAGACUCAACCUUCUCAUCCAUAAAGUGGGAUUGCAGUAUCUAUGUUUCAGGUAGUUAAAGAGUACCAAGUAAGGGUAUAUAUAAAGUGUUCAGCAAAGUUCCUGAUUCAAAGAGCCCCCUCGCUCUUUCUAUACUCCAAGAGCAUUCCUUUCUCCAACCAUCAAUGGCUUUCUUUAUAUCCAAGUUGCUAAGUGUUUGUGUGCUGUGGCCUCCUCUGACUGUCUGCAGAAGUCAACGGACUCUUCUCAGAAAUAUAUUUUCCAAGGAAUAAGACAUUGUGGGGACGUGACAGCCAGUCCUAACCUGAUGGCACUGUGUUAUUGCCUGCCCAGAAAUGAACUGCUCUAUCCCACUCAUUAGAGUGCUCAGACCUGAGUAAGAAUUUACACAGGCCCCUGUGGUGGCUAAAGAAACUUAAUAUGGAGCCAGGCAUGCCGUAAGGGCCUUUGACCUUUUGCUCUGGGAUGCCUGGGAGAUCCUAGUGGCCUGCAGGUGAGAUAAGGAUAGGAUAGUGGGCCGUGAGGUAUCAACAGCUGCCUUUGCUUCUGUAACACCUGCUUAGCGCUAUGGGAAAGGGAUGGAAUGGUCUUUUUAUUACUGUAUAUCGGGAAAGUCAGAAACAGCUAAGGGAAGUCAGAAGUUGCCCAGCUGUGGAGUCCGUGGAUAUUUGUAAUGCACACCUUACUGAUGUCUGCCUUAAGACCUCACCUUAACCCUUCUCUGCACAGCGUGCUGUUUGGC